rnacentral:rRNA from 1 species
GAUGAACGCUGGCGGCGUGCCUAAUACAUGCAAGUCGAGCGAACAGACGAGGAGCUUGCUCCUCUGACGUUAGCGGCGGACGGGUGAGUAACACGUGGAUAACCUACCUAUAAUACUGGGAUAACUUCGGGAAACCGGAGCUAAUACCGGAUAAUAUAUUGAACCGCAUGGUGCAAUAGUGAAAGACGGUUUUGCUGUCACUUAUAGAUGGAUCCGCGCCACAUUAGCUAGUUGGUAAGGUAACGGCUUACCAAGGCAACGAUGCGUAGCCGACCUGAGAGGGUGAUCGGCCACACUGGAACUGAGACACGGUCCAGACUCCUACGGGAGGCAGCAGUAGGGAAUAUUCCGCAAUGGGCGAAAGCCUGACGGAGCAACGCCGCGUGAGUGAUGAAGGUCUUCGGAUCGUAAAGCUCUGUUAUUAGGGAAGAACAAAUGUGUAAGUAACUCUGCACGUCUUGACGGUACCUAAUCAGAAAGCCCCGGCUAACUACGUG